rnacentral:rRNA from 1 species
AACGAACGCUGGCGGCAGGCCUAAAACAUGCAAGUCGAACGCCCCGCAAGGGGAGUGGCGCACGGGUGAGUAACGCGUGGGAACGUGCCCUUCAGUACGGGACAACGUCGGGAAACUGACGCUAAUACCGUAUAAUGACUCCGGUCCAAAGAUUUAUCGCUGAAGGAGCGGCCCGCGUCUGGUUAGCUAGUUGGUGAGGUAAUGGCUCACCAAGGCUACGAUCAGUAGCAGGUCUGAGAGGAUGAUCUGCCACACUGGGACUGAGACACGGCCCAGACUCCUACGGGAGGCAGCAGUUAGGAAGAUUGGACAAUGGGGGAAACCCUGAUCCAGCCAUGCCGCGUGUGUGAUGAAGGCCCUAGGGUUGUAAAGCACUUUCGUUGGGGAUGAUAAUGACCGUACCCAAAGAAGAAGCACCGGCUAACUUCGUGCCAGCCGCCGCCGUAA